ACCAAAAGUCCGGGAUAACCCCGGGAACCUGGGGAUAAUACCGGAUAGACAUCUGUGCUGGAAGGCUGGGUGGUUGAAACUUCCGGGGCUUUUGGAUGGGUCUGCGGCUGAUUAGGUUGUUGCCGGUGUAACGUACCGUCAAGCCUGUAAUCAGUACGGGUUGUGGGAGCAAGAGCCCGGAGAUGGAUUCUGAGACACGAAUCCAGGCCCUACGGGGCGCAGCAGGCGCGAAAACUCUACAAUGCAGGCAACUGCGAUAGGGGAACAUCGAGUGAUCCUCAUAUUGGGGGUCUGUCCACCCGUCUAAAAAACGGGUGUUAGCAAGGGCCGGGCAAGACCGGUGCCAGCCGCCGCGGUAAUACCGGCGGCUCGAGUGGUGGCCGAUAUUAUUGAGUCUAAAGGGUCCGUAGCCGGCUUUGCAAGUCUCUCGGGAAAUCCAGCGGCUUAACCGUUGGUCGUCCGGGGGGUACUACAUUGCUUGGGACUGGGAGAGGUAGGAGGUACUCAGGGGGUAGGAGUGAAAUCCUGUAAUCCUUUGGGGACCACCGGUGGCGAAGGCGUCCUACCAGAACAGGUCCGACGGUGAGGGACGAAAGCUAGGGGCACGAACCGGAUUAGAUACCCGGGUAGUCCUAGCCGUAAACGAUGCUCGCUAGGUGUCACAACAGUCGUGAACUGUUGUGGUGCCGUAGGGAAGCCGUGAAGCGAGCCACUUGGGAAGUACGACCUCAAGGCUGAAACUUAAA
rnacentral:rRNA from 1 species